GAUGAACGCUGGCGGCGUGCCUAAUACAUGCAAGUCGAGCGAACGGACGCGAAGCUUGCUUCUCUGAUGUUAGCGGCAGACGGGUGAGUAACACGUGUAUAACCUACCUAUAAUACUGGGAUAACUUCGGGAAACCGGAGCUAAUACCGGAUAAUAUUUUGAACCGCAUGGUUCAAAAGUGAAAGACGGUCUUGCUGUCACUUAUAGAGGGAUCCGCGCUGCAUUAGCUGGUUGGUAAGGUAACGGGUUUCCAAGGCGACGAUGCAUAGCCGAGGUGAGAGAGUGAUAGGCCACCCUGGAACUGGGACACGGACCAGACUCCUACGGGAGGCAGCAGUAGGGAAUCUUACGCAGUGGGCGAAAACCUGGCGGAGCGACGGCGAGUGAGUGGUAGAAGCCUUCGGAGCGUGAAACUCUGUUAUGGGGGAAGAACAUAUGUGUAAGUUGCUGUACACAGCUUGACGGUACUUGGUCAGAAAGCACCGGCUAACUACGUG
rnacentral:rRNA from 1 species